UACGGAGGGGGCUAGCGUUAUUCGGAAUUAUUGGGCGUAAAGGGCGCGUAGGCGGCCCGGUAAGUCAAAGGUGAAAUCCCUCGGCUCAACUGAGGAACUGCCUUUGAAACUGUCGGGCUUGAGGCCGGGAGGGGGUAGCGGAAUUCCCAGUGUAGCGGUGAAAUGCGCAGAUAUCAGGAAGAACACCAAUGGCGAAGGCAGCUCUCUGGGACGGUACUGACGCUGAGACGCGAAAGCGUGGGGAGCGAACAGG
rnacentral:rRNA from 1 species